rfam:Flavobacteriaceae bacterium CG2_30_34_30 cg2_3.0_scaffold_7395_c, whole genome shotgun sequence.
UUCUAUAUUUGGAAUCUCAAAUGAAAACAAAUACAGUUUAUACUUGGUGGUGGAGUUACUUACGAAAAAAAUCGUGAUGUUACUGCUAUAGUAUAACUUAAAAACAAUACAAAAGGCUUGUC